rnacentral:rRNA from 1 species
UUUAAAUUGAGAGUUUGAUCCUGGCUCAGGAUGAACGCUGGCGGCGUGCCUAAUACAUGCAAGUCGUACGCUAGCCGCUGAAUUGAUCCUUCGGGUGAAGUGAGGCAAUGACUAGAGUGGCGAACUGGUGAGUAACACGUAAGAAACCUGCCCUUUAGUGGGGGAUAACAUUUGGAAACAGAUGCUAAUACCGCGUAACAACAAAUCACACAUGUGAUCUGUUUGAAAGGUCCUUUUGGAUCGCUAGAGGAUGGUCUUGCGGCGUAUUAGCUUGUUGGUAGGGUAGAAGCCUACCAAGGCAAUGAUGCGUAGCCGAGUUGAGAGACUGGCCGGCCACAUUGGGACUGAGACACUGCCCAAACUCCUACGGGAGGCUGCAGUAGGGAAUUUUCCGCAAUGCACGAAAGUGUGACGGAGCGACGCCGCGUGUGUGAUGAAGGCUUUCGGGUCGUAAAGCACUGUUGUAAGGGAAGAAUAACUGAAUUCAGAGAAAGUUUUCAGCUUGACGGUACCUUACCAGAAAGGGAUGGCUAAAUACGUGCCAGCAGCCGCGGUAAUACGUAUGUCCCGAGCGUUAUCCGGAUUUAUUGGGCGUAAAGCGAGCGCAGACGGUUUAUUAAGUCUGAUGUGAAAUCCCGAGGCCCAACCUCGGAACUGCA